rnacentral:rRNA from 1 species
AUUAAACGCUGGCGGCAUGCCUUACACAUGCAAGUCGAACGGCAGCACGGGGGCAACCCUGGUGGCGAGUGGCGAACGGGUGAGUAAAGCAUCGGAACGUGCCCUGGAGUGGGGGAUAACGUAGCGAAAGUUACGCUAAUACCGCAUAUUCUGUGAGCAGGAAAGCAGGGGAUCGCAAGACCUUGCGCUCUGGGAGCGGCCGAUGUCGGAUUAGCUAGUUGGUGGGUAAGGCCUACCAAGGCGACGAUCCGUAGCGGGUCUGAGAGGAUGAUCCGCCACACUGGGACUGAGACACGGCCCAGACUCCUACGGGAGGCAGCAGUGGGAAUUUUGGACAAUGGCGAAAGCCUGAUCCAGCCAUGCCGCGUGAGUGAAGAAGG